GAGUUGUUCAAUGAACUCGGUUAGUUAAAGCGUGACUCGGUUCAAAAGAUACCUGGUUCGAGUUGUUGCAAGAAACGAUUCGCACUAAACCGCUUUCCAAAUGUGACACGAACGAUCGGGCGGCCUUCUUUCUUUCGCUCCUCCACUCAUCCUCGGUGGUCGUCAAGUCCUCCGUCGCCUUGCCUUGCAUCUUCUUCGACGCUCGUCGAGUUCUUCACUCCCGACUACCGCUCUCCCUGGCCGGCCGCCGCGUCCUCCAACUCUCCGACGGUCGAUCUCCCGUCCGGCGUCCUCAAGUGGAUCAUGUGGAGCAAAAUUGAUCUGUGAUCGUGGGUAUGAACUUGUUCGUGGAUGCUGUUUGGAGUAGUUUUUCGUGGAACAACCUCAUUCGUCAGUUCCCGUACCAUGAGUUUGUAGAUCGCUCAGCAAUGUACAGAGUGGGAUCAUUGUUCUAUGCAAUUUACUUUAUAGUUAGCUUCCCCAUGUUCAUAAGGUGAUGUUAAAAGCAGGAAAAUAUGAGCUUGUUCACAAGUUUUUUGGAAAAAUGAGAAAAAGAGGACUUGCUCCAAAUUCUCACACAUAUAAAGUUCUUAUGACUGCCUGUUGGAGAGAAGGUAAGAUAGACGAUGCUGUUGAAGCAGUUUUGGAUAUGGAACGGAGGGGAGUAGUUGGGUCGGCUAGUGUGGGAAACCUCAGAUGAUGAUUUCAAGGAACAAAGUAAUGCAAUACCGACUAUCUCUCGGCGUCAUGCGGGCGAAAUAGGCCUGAAAAUGUCAGCCCGAGAGAACUUGAUUCUUUUGGAUCUACAUGUUCUUGACCUGACACAGCAAAGACCCAGAUGGAACAGGUGUUGUCCAUAGAAUUUUCACCAGUCUUCAUUUUUUAUAGAAUUUUGGAUCUUUAGUCAUUAACCUCACACGACAUUGGUGGAAAGGUUUGCUUUGUUGUUUUUUUUUUUUUUGAGUGAAAUUUUAUAUCUUAUAGUCUGUAAGGGUUCAAAUAGGACGUGUUUAGGACGGUUUAUGUUCUUAUAAACUGUUUUAUUUUUUCUGCUUGAAGAUUUAUUUAGCAAAAGGUGCGAGGAUGUUGGCCAUUCCAUUACCAAAUCCAUUCAUGGGAUAGAUGAAACUCCUCAAACCUAGUAACUCCUGUAGAGUGUGAUGAAUUUCAUUUUGUUUGUCUCAAAUAUCAUUUGGGAUAAAUUAUUAAGGCUGGACCAUUAUUCCAUCUUAACCGAGUGUCUUCAACAUAACCCAGUCUUAGGAUUGAGCCUAGAAAACCUUUUAUCUCUUUUCAAAAGGACCAGUCAAUUUUGUACUCGAUUUUAAACUGUGACAUUUUUGGGAUUCAAUCCCAAGUUCUAGGUAGUGACUUUAGGACCUAGAACCCUCCCACUUGUCCUCUCCCUUAGCCCUUUCGCCCUUUCACACCCCGAACCAGCUUACUAUCCCUCAAGUGGAUCACAUGGUCAACUCGCCCCCUCCACCUCACCAUUUGCCCCUAGCCUCUCUUCUACUUCUGUGGGAGAGUCUUGGAGCUCAAUCCUCCCCAUCCUACAUUUUUGGAACCUAUAUUUGACCCACUUCCCUUGACCCGAUUGAGCCUAGAUUGGAACCCUAGGACCCACUUCACCUAACCAAGCCCAUUUCCUAGACCGUGCCUUGACCAAGCUGACCCUACCUAGCCCCAUCCCACCUAAGUCAACCCAAGCUACAAGGUUCACAAUUAGUCGGUUCCAGCCCUAGCCCUCAAGGAAGUUCCAGCCUUUGCCCUCAAGGAAGACCGCCCUCAAGGAAGUUCCAGCCCUAGCCCUCAAGGAAGACCGCAGGGUCCGCAUCCUUGUGAGUCUUGGAAUCGGUGGACCUUGUCACUGCCGGCCAUCUCCGGCUGCCACUGGCCGCCGCUGCCACUUUUCCGGCAUCCCUCCGGCGACUACUCCAACCGGAUCCCCACUUCAUUCGGCAAGUACCCGUGGUGCUCCUAGGCGUCUUCCGGCGAAAAGUCCCUACAACCGGGUGAUCUAGAAGGCUUCUUUAACCGCCGGCAUCCUCUUCAUACCUUGGAUUGUGUUUAUGCAGCCGGGCCUCUUCCACCGUGUAGUUGCAUUACCCGAGUGUGGAAUCUCACCUCGUGGUCCUUGGAUAUUAUUUCGCCAAGCUUGGCCGGUACUCUCUUUUUCACAAUUUAGCCUUUUACGGGUGGGUGUGGUUUGUUCGAUUGGCUUAGCCUCUUACGGGUGGGUGUGGUUUGUUCGAUUGGCUUAGCCUCUUACGGGUGGGUGUGGUUUGUUCGAUUAGGUUUGGUUUGAUGGUUUGCUUGAGUGAGUUGUGAGAGUUUUAUUCAUUGUAUCGUGGACGCUUGUACUGGCCUCACAUCUCUUAGUAUUUUGUAUAUGAUUAUCUUUUGGGAUUGGGUUAACCUUCCUUACCUAUUGGGAUUUUGAAGUCAGGAUUUGAUUUGUCCUAAGAGAGUUUGGGGGUAGGCACGGCCGUCGGCUUUGGACUUUGGUCGGCCACAGGCAAAACCUUACCAAUUUGGUAUCACAGCUUGAAGUCAUCUUGAAGGAAGUUGACAAAUUCGGCAACCUUUGGAGUAUACAUAGGGCAGAUUGAAGUUUCGGUUUUCUUGUCAGUGUCAUGUGGUGUAGCAGAUUUUGGAGUCUGUACACAUGUGUUAUGUUUUGCUUAAGUGUGGAGAUGGGGUUGUGCCUUAAGCUGGCUGAAAUUUUGUUGGCUGUGUACUUGAAACCUUUAAUCUGUCUUUUCUUUUUACUUUUAUUAGCGUAUUGGAGCUGCACCAGGACUAGCACCAGCGUCGUGUGACAUAGCAUCUAAUUAAUCUCUCUUUUGAAAAUAAAAUUUCCUUCCUCACAUAGCUGU